rnacentral:lncRNA from 1 species
CAAAAGGUGAAAAUUCAGGAAUAUGCUCCAGGAACCCGCUUGCUGUGGGUGCAGGUGCUCACAAAGCUCAGAGCAUGCAGCCAUGAGCUCCCUCUCUCCUCACCACCAAGGGUUAACCACAGCCAGGGAUUGCUCCAAGCAAAGUUCAGCCUCUGCUUCAGUGUGGAUGGCAUGGACAGGCUUCCCAAAAGCAGUAUGUUCCAGGGAGAGGAAUUCUGGUAUUAGGAGGUGCUCUCCAAGAUCCUGAAGCUGUUCUGAGCUGUGGCUGCUGUCUGCUUUGCUUUGUGUCCUUUGGGAAGGCCCUGCCCUGCUGGGGGCUCAGAGGGGAGCACAGGCAGCGCCUCCCAUGCAGUGCUGAGCUCUUUGGGCACAUCUCAGUGUGUGAGGCAAGGACUCCUGGCUCUGCAGGAGCUGCAGAAUCACAGGGUCACUGAAGUUGGAAAAGACCUCUGCAGUCACUAUGACCCAACACUGCCUUGUCAACGAGACCAUGGCAGGUCCAGCCUUCCCUCAAACACCUCCAGCCACCAGUGUCCUGCAGGAACAGCUCAGGACAGGCUGGCAGAGCACACACACCAGGGCUUACCCCACACCUUUUGGCAAGAUGUCCUUUCCCAUCCCAGCCUGUGGAAUGUUCACUGACUGGAGAAGGACUGCCUCAGAUAUACAGCCCCGUGGGGAACAGUCUUACCAGGUACAGUCCUUGACUGAGCACAGGCAAAUCAUCCCUGUGGGAAUCACUGCAGGACACUUCUCCUUGCCACCUGAGAAAUCCCUUUGCCAAAUGAAGAAAUCCUUAAUCAGCUGCCCCUUUGAAAGGAGAGGCAGCCAUGAAAGUGAGCAGUGCUGUGACUUCACCCAGGCCCUACCCCUCAGACCCUGCUCGAGCUUUGUCUCUAUAUUAAGUUGCACAUCUUUGAUUCCCCAGCCUUCCUGGGAAGCUUCCAAGGCUUCUUGCUUCAAGGCUCGUGCUGUGGCAGCGUUCCUAUUACCAGCCAGAAAAGUUUGGGAGUUCAGAACAAGGUAAAGUUACACAACCUCCAUUAAAAUAACACCACAGCAACGAGCUCAGCUUUCCUCAUCUCAGUAACAGCCACUCUGCUCUCUUCCAAGAGAAAGUCCUGCUGAAGUUUUCUGGCUGCAUGAGCCUGAGUGCCUGGUGUUAAUCCCCAGCCCUCUCCAAGCCCGGAUUUCAGCUCCUCACCAUGCCUGGCAGUCCUCAGUCAGGCAGCAGUGAUUUCCCAGGACUGUUCAACCACUGUGCUCAAGUUCCCUGCAAGGGUCUGGCUGGGGGAUGGAUGAGCCUUUACCCCUGUACAGGACUGUGUCCCGUGCAGAGCGAGCUGUGGGCUGGUGGCAGUGACAAA